rnacentral:rRNA from 1 species
AUUGAACGCUGGCGGCAUGCCUUACACAUGCAAGUCGAACGGCAGCGGACCUUCGGGUGCCGGCGAGUGGCGAACGGGUGAGUAAUGUAUCGGAACGUACCUUUCAGUGGGGGAUAACGUAGCGAAAGUUACGCUAAUACCGCAUAUUCUGUGAGCAGGAAAGCAGGGGAUCGCAAGACCUUGUGCUGAUUGAGCGGCCGAUAUCAGAUUAGCUAGUUGGUGAGGUAAAGGCUCACCAAGGCGACGAUCUGUAGCGGGUCUGAGAGGAUGAUCCGCCACACUGGAACUGAGACACGGUCCAGACUCCUACGGGAGGCAGCAGUGGGGAAUUUUGGACAAUGGGGGCAACCCUGAUCCAGCCAUGCCGCGUGAGUGAAGAAGGCCUUCGGGUUGUAAAGCUCUUUCAGCCGGGAAGAAAUCGCAUAGGUUAAUACCCUGUGCGGAUGACGGUACCGGAAUAAGAAGCACCGGCUAACUACGUGCCAGCCGCCGCAGUAAAAC